AACUUCCCACGAUGCCCGACAAACUACGACCAUCAAGGCCUCCCGUCUGCAGACUAGGGUUUCAGUACAUAACAGUCACACGGGCCGCCAUAUCCCGCGACGCUCGUCCAGCUAGCGUUGCAUUAGGGCAGCGCCCCAGACGGCCCUUUUCUCUCCCUCUGUUUGUUACCGUCUGCCGCUAACCACCGCAGCCCAAGCCUUGCCCCACCGCCGCUCACGACAUCGCACGAAGCUACCGCCUCACUGGGUGCUGCGGUAGGCCAAGCCCUGCACCACGAGCACGCCGUUGCACACCAUCGCACAGUAAGUCUCAUAUCUCGGUCUCCCUCUCCCUCUCCCUCUCCCUCUGAUUUCCCUCCUCUCCCUUGUCGCCCUCUGCCUUGUUGUUGCUCUCUGCUCCACCGCGCCACGCUGCUCCUUGUCUUUCCGGCCACCGUUCGCCGCAGAGCACCUCGAUCAUCCCUUGACAGCGGCAUUUUGCACUCCAAUCCAAUCAACCACCGCACGGAGGUCUACAAUUUAGUUCCUUGCAAUGCCAAAAAAGAGUUCUUCGAAGAAAGCUACUCAAGUGCCGCAAAAUAGUGUUGUGGAAGAAGAAAAACCCUCUUCAACAAAGAAAAAGGCUCCUAGUGAGAUUGAUGAAAUAUUUGCCGGAAUAAAGAGGAAGAAAUCUGAACCCGAGGAGUCCGGAAAGCCAAAUGAAGAGGCAACGGGAAAUUCUAAGAAGAUAAAGAAAAAGAAUAAGGUUAAAAUGUCUGCUGACGACGGUGGGUUUAUGGAUCCACCUUCUCGACCUAGAAAGAAGACAAAUGAUGGACUUGCUAUCUACACAGAGGAGGAGUUGAAUAUCAGUAAGGCAGAUGCUGGAGGUACCCCGCUUUGUCCUUUUGAUUGUUCUUGUUGUUUUUGAGCCUACAUGAAAAAUGUUUUGGCUGAUGUUACUUCCUUUGGUCCAGUGAAGCUUGGAAAUUUUCCUGUAGUCUUGUAAUUUUUGCUUCAUUUUCAGUUUUGGUGUUUCAAUUCAA